rnacentral:rRNA from 1 species
UACGGAGGGUGCAAGCGUUGUCCGGAUUUAUUGGGUUUAAAGGGUGCGUAGGCGGCCUUUUAAGUCAGUGGUGAAAGCCCUCAGCUCAACUGAGGAACUGCCAUUGAUACCGAAAGGCUUGAGUACAGACGAGGUAGGCGGAAUUGAAGAUGUAGCGGUGAAAUGCAUAGAUAUCUUCAAGAACACCGAUUGCGUAGGCAGCUUACUAGGCUGUAACUGACGCUGAGGCACGAAAGCGUGGGGAGCAAACAGG